rnacentral:rRNA from 1 species
AAAUUGAAGAGUUUGAUCAUGGCUCAGAUUGAACGCUGGCGGCAGGCCUAACACAUGCAAGUCGAGCGGAAACGAGUUAACUGAACCUUCGGGGGACGUUAACGGCGUCGAGCGGCGGACGGGUGAGUAAUGCCUAGGAAAUUGCCCUGAUGUGGGGGAUAACCAUUGGAAACGAUGGCUAAUACCGCAUGAUGCCUACGGGCCAAAGAGGGGGACCUUCGGGCCUCUCGCGUCAGGAUAUGCCUAGGUGGGAUUAGCUAGUUGGUGAGGUAAGGGCUCACCAAGGCGACGAUCCCUAGCUGGUCUGAGAGGAUGAUCAGCCACACUGGAACUGAGACACGGUCCAGACUCCUACGGGAGGCAGCAGUGGGGAAUAUUGCACAAUGGGCGCAAGCCUGAUGCAGCCAUGCCGCGUGUGUGAAGAAGGCCUUCGGGUUGUAAAGCACUUUCAGUCGUGAGGAAGGUAGUGUAGUUAAUAGCUGCAUUAUUUGACGUUAGCGACAGAAGAAGCACCGGCUAACUCCGUGCCAGCAGCCGCGGUAAUACGGAGGGUGCGAGCGUUAAUCGGAAUUACUGGGCGUAAAGCGCAUGCAGGUGGUUUGUUAAGUCAGAUGUGAAAGCCCGGGGCUCAACCUCGGAAUAGCAUUUGAAACUGGCAGACUAGAGUACUGUAGAGGGGGGUAGAAUUUCAGGUGUAGCGGUGAAAUGCGUAGAGAUCUGAAGGAAUACCGGUGGCGAAGGCGGCCCCCUGGACAGAUACUGACACUCAGAUGCGAAAGCGUGGGGAGCAAACAGGAUUAGAUACCCUGGUAGUCCACGCCGUAAACGAUGUCUACUUGGAGGUUGUGGCCUUGAGCCGUGGCUUUCGGAGCUAACGCGUUAAGUAGACCGCCUGGGGAGUACGGUCGCAAGAUUAAAACUCAAAUGAAUUGACGGGGGCCCGCACAAGCGGUGGAGCAUGUGGUUUAAUUCGAUGCAACGCGAAGAACCUUACCUACUCUUGACAUCCAGAGAACUUUUCAGAGAUGAAUUGGUGCCUUCGGGAACUCUGAGACAGGUGCUGCAUGGCUGUCGUCAGCUCGUGUUGUGAAAUGUUGGGUUAAGUCCCGCAACGAGCGCAACCCUUAUCCUUGUUUGCCAGCGAGUAAUGUCGGGAACUCCAGGGAGACUGCCGGUGAUAAACCGGAGGAAGGUGGGGACGACGUCAAGUCAUCAUGGCCCUUACGAGUAGGGCUACACACGUGCUACAAUGGCGCAUACAGAGGGCUGCCAACUUGCGAAAGUGAGCGAAUCCCAAAAAGUGCGUCGUAGUCCGGAUUGGAGUCUGCAACUCGACUCCAUGAAGUCGGAAUCGCUAGUAAUCGUGGAUCAGAAUGCCACGGUGAAUACGUUCCCGGGCCUUGUACACACCGCCCGUCACACCAUGGGAGUGGGCUGCAAAAGAAGUAGGUAGUUUAACCUUCGGGGGGACGCUUACCACUUUGUGGUUCAUGACUGGGGUGAAGUCGUAACAAGGUAGCGCUAGGGGAACCUGGCGCUGGAUCACCUCCUUAUACGAUGAU